rnacentral:rRNA from 1 species
GAUGAACGCUGGCGGCGUGCCUAAUACAUGCAAGUCGAGCGAACAGACGAGGAGCUUGCUCCUCUGACGUUAGCGGCGGACGGGUGAGUAACACGUGGAUAACCUACCUAUAAGACUGGGAUAACUUCGGGAAACCGGAGCUAAUACCGGAUAAUAUAUUGAACCGCAUGGUUCAAUAGUGAAAGACGGUUUUGCUGUCACUUAUAGAUGGAUCCGCGCCGCAUUAGCUAGUUGGUAAGGUAACGGCUUACCAAGGCGACGAUGCGUAGCCGACCUGAGAGGGUGAUCGGCCACACUGGAACUGAGACACGGUCCAGACUCCUACGGGAGGCAGCAGUAGGGAAUCUUCCGCAAUGGGCGAAAGCCUGACGGAGCAACGCCGCGUGAGUGAUGAAGGUCUUCGGAUCGUAAAACUCUGUUAUUAGGGAAGAACAAAUGUGUAAGUAACUAUGCACGUCUUGACGGUACCUAGUCAGAAAGCCACGGCUAACUACGUG